rnacentral:misc_RNA from 1 species
GGAUCAUGUUCAGUAUCUUGGUCCAAUGUGGGGUCUGUUGGAUUAAGGAGUCCUAUGUUGAAUGUAGCAGAUGAGGUUGUUUCAUCUACCUCAAGCAUGUGUUGGACAGCGGAGAAAUCAGAAGAGGUUGCUGAUACAAUUGCAUCUUCGGAGUCAGAAUCUGAAGCUUCAAGUGAUGAGGAUAAUGAUGACUCCAAGGAUGAGAAUUACCAGGUGAAAGAAUCAUCAAGUUCUAGCGAAUCUGAUGAUGUAAGAAGUGAUACAUUGAAAGAUGAUGAGGAAUCAAAAGAUGGUAAUACAUCGAAAGACGAUGAUCUGAGUUGUCCAACAGAGCAAGAACACCAUGAAGAAGGAAAC